GCAAGAUGAUCUUAUAUUGAGCCAUGAAUCUCAAUUGGGAGACAUGAAAUUAAAGUACGAUGAUGUAUCGAAUCGUCUCAAUCUUUUGAUGGCUCAUGUUGGUAUCCAAGUAAACCCAAGUGGAAGUACAAGUGAACAGAUUCAUGAUUCCUCAAGUCCACAACAGCUUAGGCGUAAUAUAGAUACUGAUGGACAUCGUCAAUUGGAUUUGGAAGGGCAACGACAAUUAUCUUCGUCUUCAAACACAACUUCAUGAUAAACUAUAAGGUUGGAGAAAUAUCUAGGUGUUGAUGCUGGAAGUACAAGAUAAUAAAUUUUACAAUUAGCAUGCUACUCUAAACUAGAUCGUUUUGUUUAGUAUUUUGACUACUACUGUAUGCGCAGCGACAUUUUAGUUUGUAUGA